rnacentral:ncRNA from 2 species
CUCUUAUCAAGAGUGACGGAGGGAACUGGCCCUAUGAAGUCCGGCAACCAGUACAUUGAUUAUGUACAGUGUACAAUGGUGCUAAUUCCAGCGGUAGAAAUACCGGCAGAUGAGAG